rfam:Schistosoma margrebowiei strain Zambia genome assembly, scaffold: SMRZ_scaffold0000245
GCACUGCUGAGGAGUCCCAUACUAGAACGGAACAGCUGUCCAGUGC